UUAAUAACAUGGCAUGCCAUGUGGUAAAACAAUAUCCACCUAGAUUUUAUUUAAUUAACAUUAUUUUAUUUUAGUUAUUAUUAUUUAAAACAAAUAAAAACAGUAAUUUUGUUAAAUAACAUUGACAAAAACUAUAAAAAAAAUAAAAUUACAUUGAUUAAAAAAAAUUAUUGUUUUCUCCUUCCUCAGUUCACGUUCUUCUCUUCUCCUUCAUCCUAUUUUCAUUCUUAUUCUUACUCCAUUUUUGCAUUUUUCUUUUGUUCUCUCAUAACCAAACAAUACAAAGCCAAAUACACACAUGACUUCAAUUUCUUUUUAGGAUUAUCCUUCGUACUAUUUUAGCCAAACCCUAAUUUUGACCAAAAUAGUCUUCCCUACCACAAUUCAAAGCCGAAUCCUUCAUACUCAGUUCCAGAACUUCUGCAUUUUUUUUCAUCAAAGUGAGGGUUGAGGCUUUGCAGGUAAAUCUCGUUUUCACAUAAUCAAACCAUACCCAAUAUCAACACUCAAAAUUAAACAUAAAAAACUCAGAUUUAGUAAUUUUCGUAUAAAUUUUGUCAAAGCUUAUCACUCUCUCUUGCUCAUUUAUAUUCUUUUAGAUCCAAAAAAUGUUUCACCCUAAAAAUCUUGCUCUCUCUCUCUCUCUCUCUCUCAAUCGCUCUCUAUGCUUACCAAUUUGAACCGUACAAAUCGAUUCUCUUCUAGUUACUAUUCUCUAUCCUCCUUGGUCCUUCCUCUCCAAUCUCCUUCACUGGCUGUGAUUUCCGCAUCGGUUGUGGCCAUGGCGUUCACUUCCCAUCUCUCUGCGAAGAUUGUUGUAAUGGUGAAGAAUUGUUGCUGGGUCGGAGAAGAAAUGUCAUGUUGUUUCUGGGGAUGAUGGAUGCAUGGUGAUGGUGCUAGUGCAGAUUGUGUUUUAGGAUACGAAUUGAAAAAUGGGUUGGUGAAAUCACAUAACACAAGCUCAAUCACCAUGUAUUAGAUCUAUGGGAUUUUCUUUUUUGAAAAAAUAAACAAAGAAUAUGUAAUGGUUAUUGAUGUUGCUGGAUUUUUUUUUUUUUUUUUGUGUGUGUGUAGUAUUUAGAUCUAAAAAGAAUAAUGCUAAGGGUGAUGAAUGAUGAUUGACAAGGGGAGGAAUUUUCAAGAUUAUUAAUUUUUUUGUAAUUAAGAAAAUAAAAUAAAUAUCAGGUUUUUCUAUUUAAAUAUGAUUUUAUAACAUGGCAUGCCACAUCAUUUAAUGUGUCUACAUGGCAUCCAAUGUGUUUGCCUUGGUGGCAAUUCCGUUUGCCUGGUUGUCAAG
rnacentral:lncRNA from 1 species